GCCUGGGUGGUUCAGUUGGUUAAGCAUCUGACUUUGGCUCAGAUCAUGAUCUCAAGGUUCAUGGGUUAGAGCCCCGUGUCGGGCU
rnacentral:tRNA from 1 species